GGGGGUAUAGCUCAGAGUGGGGGGUAGAGCAUUCGACUGCAGAACGAGAGGUCCCCGGUUUAAACCCGGGUGUCCUCU
rnacentral:tRNA from 1 species